rnacentral:rRNA from 1 species
GUUGUAAUUUAGAAGUUAGAUAGAAUUGUUUUUGGGUUUAUUUGCCUUUUGCAUCAUGCUUAAUAGAUUUUUUUAAAUUAUUUUUUUUAUCGAAGAGUUUGGAUCUCAGUAUUGGGCUGUUUAGAACUUAUUCUAUAUGAGUUAUUUUAUAAUUGAAUAGACUUAUUUUGUGAUGUGAAACAUUAAUCGUCAAACUUUAUAACUAUUUUAUCACUGGUUAUUUUUUGUGACGCAUUAAGUUCAAGAUUUAGUGUGUGUUUAUACUUAUUUUUUGUUGUGUUGAUGAAUAGGUUAAGGGUACUUAUUUAUUGUAAAAUUGUUAAAAAUUUUGUAAUUUGGUAUUUAAGUUAAUUUGUAGCGUGUGAUUUCAUUUAUUAACUGUUGGUUAGAGAAUAUUAUUAAAUAAGUAAUAGCAAUAUUUUGAUUAUUUCUCGRGAGUCAUCCGUCUGUUUAUUAAAAACAUUUCUAAUUUUAAAAUAUAGUUAGUAGUGCCUGCCCAGUGUGUUAAUAAAUGGCCGCAGUAAUUUGACUGUGCAAAGGUAGCAUAAUUAAUUGUCCUAUAAUUGAGGGCUUGUUUGAAUGGUUUGACGAGAUGAUUUUCUUAUAUUCUUUAUAUUGUUGAAAUUGGUGUUGGAGGUGCAGAACCCUCAUUAUAUUAAUAAGACGGAAAGACCCUGGGAGCUUUUAAUUUUACUUGGGGUAAGAUUUAAUAUUUUAUUAAGAUUAAGACCCUACGGUUGUGAGAUUAGUUUAGUGAUUUAAGUUGCCCCAGGGAUAACAGGGUAAUAAUUAAUAAGAGAUCAUAUCGAGUUAAUUGUUUGCCACCUCGAUGUUGACUUAGGUUAGUAUUAUGGCGCAGUUGUUUUUAUACAAGGUCUGUUCGACCUUAGUGACCUUCAUGAGUUGAGUUUAGACCGGUGUAAGCCAGGUCGGUUCUUAUCUAUU